ACCAAGGAGUCUAACAUGUGUGCGAGUCGACCAGUGUUUUGAAACUGGAAGGCGCAAUGAAAGUGAACGCUUUUUACAAGUGUUGUGAUACGAUCCGUAGUUUCUUUGUAGCAAACUGCGGCGGAGUAUCGUCCCAUCUAUACGGUUCGGCCGUUUGGUGGAGAUUUGAGCAGACAUGUUGGUACCCGAAAGAUGGUGAACUAUGCUUGAGCAGAACGAAGCCAGAGGAAACUCUGGUGGAGGUUCGUAGCGGUUCUGACGUGCAAAUCGAUCGUCAGACUUGAGUAUAGGGGCGAAAGACU
rnacentral:rRNA from 2 species